CGGGGAAGUCAUGAACUGAUAGGAAAUUCCUUGAUUAAGCAAUGCUGCCUAGGGAUAGGGGUAGGACGAUCAAUUGUAUUUUGCUUCUGUUAUAAAUGCAUUGCUAAUUACUAGGGGAGACUGGGGAUAGUAAGCCAGUAACUAGUAAUAGGCUCUUUUUGCCGAGGGAUCGAGUUUAGGGUAGACUAAGAAAGUUUGCAUGACAAUUAGAUAAUAAAGCGAAUUCAAUAAGAAGAGUAAAUAUAAGAGAAUGGAUAAGAUGAAAUUGUAAACCCCAACAACUCCAUUCAUCCAUAUCUUUUCCUUGCCAAUUGAAUCACUUGCAUUUGCAUGUUUAUUUCUGUUUUGCAUUCACA
rnacentral:lncRNA from 1 species